AGUGAACGCUGGCGGUAGGCCUAACACAUGCAAGUCGAACGGCAGCACAGUAAGAGCUUGCUCUUACGGGUGGCGAGUGGCGGACGGGUGAGGAAUACAUCGGAAUCUACUUUUUCGUGGGGGAUAACGUAGGGGAACUUACGCUAAUACCGCAUACGACCUACGGGUGAAAGCAGGGGGUCUUCGGACCUUGCGCGAUUGAAUGAGCCGAUGUCGGAUUAGCUAGUUGGCGGGGUAAAGGCCCACCAAGGCGACGAUCCGUAGCUGGUCUGAGAGGAUGAUCAGCCACACUGGAACUGAGACACGGUCCAGACUCCUACGGGAGGCAGCAGUGGGGAAUAUUGGACAAUGGGCGCAAGCCUGAUCCAGCCAUACCGCGUGGGUGAAGAAGGCCUUCGGGUUGUAAAGCCCUUUUGUUGGGAAAGAAAAGCAGCAGGUUAAUACCCCGCUGUUCUGACGGUACCCAAAGAAUAAGCACCGGCUAACUUCGUG
rnacentral:rRNA from 1 species